UACGUAGGGGCCUAGCGUUGUCCGGAUUUAUUGGGCGUAAAGAGCGUGUAGGCGGCCAGGUAGGUCUGCUGUGAAAACUCGAGGCUUAACCUCGAGAUGUCGGCGGAAACCAUCUGGCUAGAGUCCGGAAGAGGAGAGUGGAAUUCCUGGUGUAGCGGUGAAAUGCGCAGAUAUCAGGAAGAACACCCGUGGCGAAGGCGGCUCUCUGGGACGGUACUGACGCUGAGACGCGAAAGCGUGGGGAGCGAACAGG
rnacentral:rRNA from 1 species